UCUCUUACCUUAGCCAAACUAUAUCACCUGACUCGGUCUCAAGUCAAUCAUCUACAGCUUACCACCUUUACUUGACUUAGCCAUCUGGCGGCGAAAUUGUUGCACAUGCCAACUGUAACAUACCGGAUUUUAAUAUAAAAGUAAAAUAAAUAAAUAAAUAAAAAAAAAUAGUGUGAGAUACUAUUUUUAUUGGAUUUAGAGAAGUGAAAUAUAAGUCUGGAAUGACUCGUGCUGAAAUCGGAACGAAAACAGAAGAUUUAGAAUUUUCUGUGCGAAACGGGACUGAUAUUUUAGUAGAAAAUGCACAGUGUUAAAAAAUUAUGAAAACUGGAGAAUAUAUCAGAAUUAUUUUUAUGAGACUAGAUUUAAAAUUUCAUGUCAUUCUGACACCCGGAAGGUGGAAAAUAAAAUCCGACUGCUAUCUGCUAGAGAUUAUAGUUCUUCGGUAGAGUUUUCGGUGACCAAAUGUGGUCGAAAUUGAAAGAUUAAAAUUUCUUUCGUUAAGUUAAGUAAAACCAAGCCUGGCUGUCGAGUUUGAGCUCUAACGAAUAUUCAGAAGGGCAGGCGAAAAAUAUCUGUACCUGAGCUACAAACUGAAGUGAAUAGUACUGUUGAGGGUGUUAAUUAUAAAAGAAGCAUUUGCUUCUUCUUCU
rnacentral:lncRNA from 1 species